AUCCUGCAAGUGUCCAACAACAAAUAGAGUGUGGUGUACGGUUUUAGAAAUGGAAACCUCUAUUGAGGGGGUUCUGGCGGUGAUGGCAUAGCAUAUAGCCCAGGUAAGCGUGAUAUAUAAACUAACCUACAGUAUAUGAUACAGAUAUAGAGUAUGGAAGCUGGGCAUACCGUCCGACCUGUCAGAUUGUGUGUAUUUCUAGUUGUGUGCGUUGGGCAUAUGUUGGGUGUUGCAAUGGCAACUGUCCAGGUUAGUGUGGUUGUUUAGGGAGUUUUGUGUAGCCUGUCAGUAUAGGGAGGUGGGAAAAAGGCAGUACUGUGUGCCAUGCUCCAUGUGUGUUGUGAUGACCUUAGAUACUUUGGAGAGAGUUCGUAGAAGGGGUAUUAAACUGGUUCAUGGAUUGCGGGAUAAAACUUACCAGGAAAGGUUAAAGGAUCUUAACAUGUAUAGCUUGGAGGAGAGACGAGACUGGGGGGAUAUGAUAGAAACAUUUAAAUAUAUAAAGGGAAUCAACACAGUAAAGGAGGAGACCAUAUUUAAAAGAAGAAAAACUACCACAACAAUAGGACAUAGUCUUAAAUUAUAGGGGCAAAGGCUUAAAAAUUAAUAUCUGGAAGUAUUACUUUACUGAGAGGGUAGUGGAUGCAUGGAGUAGCCUUCCAGCUAAAGUGGAAGAGGUUAACAGUAAAGGAGUUUAAGCAUGCGUGUGACAGGCAUAAGGCUAUCCUAGCUAUAAGAUAAGGCCAGGGACUAAUGAAAGUAUUUAGAAAAUUGGGCAGACUAGAUGGGCUAAAUGGUUCUUAUGUGCCGUCACAUUCUAUGUUUCUAUAAUCUAUUGACGGGUAAACAUGCGGUGUUGAACAGUAAGGUGAUGAGUGGGGAAGUCACAUAGUUAAGCUUCAGAGAAAGACACUAUUGUUCGCGGGAUGGUGUGUGUGGGUAGUCUGCUCAGACUGUAAUAUGCUAGUGGUCAGUGUCCAUGGGUAUUGAAUAAGUUUGGGCUACUGUCUCAUAUCUAUAGCCGUCAGUAAGGUCCUUGUGGGCUCAUAGGACCCAAUGCUCUAUGGGAGGUGAAUUGAGAAAUUGCAGGACAGGCCAGAGCCUAUCUUACCUUGUCCAUGCUAGGUUAAGCCAGGUGAUCAAUUAGUAUAGGUGGAGCAGUUAUCUUGAAUCGUUCUGCAUGGUCCGCUAUGGAAAGGUAGUGUUUGUGAUUAACCAUCCUUGGAGGUAGAGGACGUCUCAGAGCUUCUAUACGCCAUAUGGGUCGAUUUGCUGUGUCGUGUGUCAGAGGGACAAGAGAUGUCUGUCGUUUAGGCUGUGCGGGAAACGUAAUCAGGACAGUGCUAGAUAAUCCAAGAGAGCCAGCACUUGGUGAUCUGUGAGAUGGUGUGGAAUUUGUUAUCCUUGCGGAUCAUGAUAUUGAAGGGUUGUAAGCCAUGUUAUGUGAGCAAUUGGGUCAGCUGGUGUAUCUUCCUGUCGCCGCAGCAUGCAUGGCGAAGGUCUUGAUAAAACUGGACAGGUGCUCCUUCCACCGUAACUGGGGAGUCCUCUGGCAGCUUUAUAUGGAAGAUGUGCAUUUGCACGAUGACGUUGAGCGGUGAGGUCGGGUUGGUUCUGGGAGCUCUUAAGGCCUAGUGGGCUCUGCCCAUCAAAAUAUCUGGUGCUGGUGUCGGCUAAGAGGCCUUGGAAUACUUCUGUAAGUGUUUUCACUGAGAGCGAUUCUGGUAGGCCAUAAUCCGGAUAUUGUUCUAGCGGGUUCUGUUACUUAGAUCUUCGCUGACCCCUUCAGGAUGUGGAGCUGCCCUUGGACAUCAGUAUAGUUCAUUUUCUCCUUGACCACGUAUGUCCAUGCCACGCAGACUUCAAUGCUGUCUUUGAUGAGCCAGAAGCGCUCGUACAGUUCAUCUGCUGUGUAUUCUUUGAAAUGAGUAAGCAACCUCUUCGUGUCUCGUCUGGUUAGUGGGGUAUAAGAGCAUGUGGCUAGGAAAGGUAAUUCAGGUACUAGUGCACUUGAUGGCUAUGGAUUGGGUAGAUGCAGAGCGAUGAAAUUAUGCUGCCAUCUACAUGCUCGGUCAGGCUCCGCUCCUCAAGCAGAUACUAGGCCUAAAAUUUGAAAUUUUACUUGACCGGAGGUAUGUAUUUUGCAUAAUCUCUCUUUACUAGCUCCACACCGCAUCAAAGAAACGCAUAGAAAAAAAGAACCAAUCACAAUAGAGUAGGAUGUACAUAAGGCAUAGUGACCUCAUCACUUCCUCUUUCUUUGCUGCUCCAUCAAGCACACAGAGAGUAUUACUCUCCUCCAUUACUUUGUAUUUAUAUUGCUGUUUUGGGAUUGUUUUUAAUACGUUUUGCUGUGCUUCUAUGCUGUGGGCAUCUGGGCGUCUUUCUUUAUUAUUAGUUUACUUUGACCUUUUUCUGGGUGCUUGGCCCUCUCCCCCCCUUAUUUCUCUACUCUAAUGGUCUCAAGGAGCUUUCGGGCCUCGCUGUGGCUUAAUCCCUACCCUCCCACUGUUUCCCCAGUAUAUCCCGGCAUGACUUCGGCCUUUUUCCCACGGCUGCACCCUCCAGUUUGGCAGCGGCUGGACUCAAAGACCCUCGCGAACAAGACGUGGCGACCAUCUUUAGUCUCGUGAGAUUGCGGGCAGCCAUUUUGGUUCACCCGCAAGCCGUGGCGGCCAUCUUUAAUCUCACAAGAUUGAAUUCAGCCAUCUUGCUACACCCGCGCACCGCGAUUUUGGCGCUCGGGAGAAGCUUAUGCUUGUUCUGCCAUCUUAGCCUUAGCUGCUCUCACAGCUCAGGCGGCUCUGACACAGGCAUUGGGUCCCAGGUUUGGAUCUAGGUACAGG